UGGCUCUGGCAUCGAUGAAGAACGCAGCGAAAUGCGAUAAGUAAUGCGAAUCGCAGAUUCCAGUGAGUCAUCGAAUUUUUGAACGCACAUUGCGCCCCCCGGUAUUCCGGGGGGCAUGCUUGUUCGAGCGUCAGUACAUCCAUCAAGCCUAGCUUGGUCUUGGGACUCGCUAAUCGCGGUCCUUAAAUCUAGUGGCGGUCCCCCGAGGAUCAGCGCGUAGUAUCUACCCCGCGUCUGACCCCCCGGGGGGCUUGCCAGAAAUACCAUUUUUUUCUUAGGAUGACCUCGAAUCAAGUAGGGAUACCCGCUGA
rnacentral:misc_RNA from 1 species